UUAAAAUUAAACAAUAUUAGAGAACCAAUUAUUGAGUGGUAACAGGAAGUGAAUUCUUUUGAGUUUUAUUAAAAUUUCAAAACGGAAGUAUAAAUGAAUGACAUCGAAAAUAAUCACAUUGACUUCAAAGGAUUAAAAGAGAGAAUCGGGCUUAGUCCAGACACCUUACCGCUCGGCUAGGCCGGAUGGAGACACUUGACUGCUUAGCCAAGGUGGAAGGUUUGCUAAAGGAGACUUAACAUCUCAGGGGUUACUGCUUCGUGAUCUACUAUUGGCUCGGAAUCGCGACUAUGAAGAUCCGGCGAGAAACUCAGCGGGCUGUGUCUGUGGGUUAAUUCACUCGUCGAGCCCAUCGUCGCAAGCGACGGGUUCGGCGAGGACGGUGACCGGUGCUUGAGGUACCUUAAAGGCACCGUUAAUGGAUCGGGAGGAUCCGUAAUGACGUGUUGAGGGCUGGGAGCCGACGAGAGCUCCUGAUUGGCCGCGGCGUACGGUCAGGCGCAGCUACCGUUUGGGUCGCUAUAUUGUGUUAUUUUAACACUAAAUAUUUAUUACUUUAAUAUUUGUGCGCAUUUACGAACUCGAAUUGGAAUGCGAAUAUGUACGUGAUUUAAAUGCUUGCAUGAUUAAAUUUUUUAAUAAGUAUAAUAA